AUUGAACGCUGGCGGAAUGCUUUACACAUGCAAGUCGAACGGUAGAGGGGGCAACCCCUUGAGAGUGGCGAACGGGUGAGUAAUAUAUCGGAACGUGCCCAGUCGUGGGGGAUAACGUAGCGAAAGUUACGCUAAUACCGCAUACGGUCUACGGAUGAAAGCGGGGGACUCGCAAGAGCCUCGCGCGAUUGGAGCGGCCGAUAUCAGAUUAGCUUGUUGGUGGGGUAAAAGCCCACCAAGGCGACGAUCAGUAGCUGGUCUGAGAGGACGACCAGCCACACUGGAACUGAGACACGGUCCAGACUCCUACGGGAGGCAGCAGUGGGGAAUUUUGGACAAUGGGCGCAAGCCUGAUCCAGCCAUUCCGCGUGAGUGAAGAAGGCCUCGGUGUAAGCUCUUUCGUCAAGGGAAGAACGACUUA
rnacentral:rRNA from 1 species